UCCCGCGGGGAAGGGCAGGUCGGUGGGAGGAGAGGAGGGGGCGCCGGGAAGGCUGAGGUGCCGAAAGCUCGGAACCGGGGGUGGCAGCGGCACCAACUAGCGACACUGGAGCGGGGAGGGGGCCACCAAACCACCUCCGGAGGCCGCAGGGAGGUGGGCGCGCCCACUGCGGUCUCCGCGGGGGAAGAAGGGACACGGCUGGAGAAGGAGGCCGCUUUGGGCUCGAGAUUAGAGUCCCUCUUAGGGUGAACAACCUGCGCAAGGCGGCGCCAUACACAGUCUUAAAAUGAGAAAGAAGACAAGCUUUGGCUGCGCAAGUAGAUCCAGGGAGCGUGCAGCCGGGUGAACGUUCUCUCCCCUCAAGUCUGCACGCAGUGGUUGCGCCUCUCUCGGAGCCUGCGCAGUCGGCACCUCGUAGCCUUGGCAGUCUGGACCCCUCGUCGGCGUCCCACGCUGCUCCCCUCCCCCACUGCCGCGAAGCUCCCGCGCGAGCCGACCACGUGCCGCGAGCCCGGCGGGGAGAGCCCACUCCCGCGCCCCUUCUGGGCCCACGACCGCGCCGGGCUGCGGCCCAUCGCCUCAGUGCCUGAUUGGCAUCCUCUGCUUCUUGAAUCCCCAAGCAGAAAACAUGGCUACCAACAGCUUCUGAAUCCACCUGCAGAGAGACUGACUGCUCUGUUAUUUUCCCCAGCAUCUGUGAAGAGACUCUGACUGUCUAAAAUGUUGGUAUAGUGAUCACCCCAGGGUUAAGCAACCAUGACUGUGAAAAGGAAAAACGUUAUGAACC
rnacentral:lncRNA from 1 species